ensembl:lncRNA
AGGUAGACAGCUCAGUGAAGUUUUUCGUGUUUCCACCUUUGUAACAACCGCCAGGAGCAGGACCCAGAGCACGACCUGACCCCAGAAGCUUCUUCCCUCACGCCCCUUCUUAGUCCAUGCCAUCACCAUCCAUACCAGAAGUAACCUCUGUUCUGAGUUUACCACCAGAGGCUCCUCUGUCCUUGGGAUUCUCCUGGCAAGAAUUCUGGAAGUGAAAAGUGAAGUCACUCAGUCGUGUCCGACUCCUUGCGACUCCAUGGACUGUAGCCUACCAGGCUCAUCCGUCCAUGGGAUUUUCCAGGCAAGAAUUCUGGAAUGGGUAGCCAUUCCCUUCUCCAGGGGACCUUCCCAACCCAGAGCCUUCUUAUAAGGACACGGGCCGUCAGACUUAGGACCUGGCCUCUUCCAGCAUGACUGCAUCCUAACGUGAUUACAUCGGCUAAAAGCCUGUUUCCCAAUAAGGUCGCAUUCACAGGACGUCCAUACACCUUGGGCUUUGGCUCCUGGUCUGGCCACUCACUGGACCAAGACAGUGGACCUCGGACAAGAUGCAGAACUUCUUGGUGCCUCAGUUUCCUCAUUUACAACGAAAAUACCAAAGGCGCCAAUUCAUAGAGUUGCUCGUGGAUGCAGCACUUAUAACUGUGCCCGAUCCCAGCAGGAUGGAGGGACGUCUUUCUCUCUGUGAGGAAGUGGUGAGAUGAUGCAGCCCAGGGCCUCUCAGUUUUGUCUGUGCGCCAGGAACACCUGCAGGCCUUUUCAAGCCACAGAAGCCCAGGUCACGUCCCAGACCUACUCCUGCUGAGUCUGGAGAACGGGACCCACAUUUAAAAAACAGUGCUUCUUUUACAAGCUCCACAGGUAGGACCCUUGGAAGCUGCAAAGCUCCCCAGAAAGUGCCCUGCAAACUGGAGCCUGCUGUUCUGAGAGAAGGGGUUCUCUCCGUUUUCUCCGCUUGCUGGUCCCAGCAGUAAAUGGUGCUGUCAUGGAUUCCCAUUUGGCCUUGUCAGAUCAUCAGACACAUUUGACUACCUAAGCAGAUGGUGGCAUUUCUUGUGGGUAUUUUGAAAAAAAAAAUAGGACAGGCUCCCAUCUGCCUGCGAUGACUCAGGAGCCGCCUGUCCUUCCCAGAGGCAGGAGCAGCUGUUGAAUGUCCUCUGAGGAUCCCUCUAGCCCCUGGGGGUGGGGACAAUGCCUCCUUCCAGGACAGGGCCAUCAAGGGAGCAUGCUGCGUGCCAGCAAGGGGACAGGGCACAGCCAGGCAAAGGCCACAGUGCCAGUGGUGGGAGCCAGGGCCGGUGCCUGUGUGGGUGGCCCCUUGUGGGUCUGAGUCUGUGCGGAUGAGGGAUGGAGCAGGGUACCUCCUCCCUUCUUUGGCCAGCUACCCAGGGACACGGGGCAGGGCGGGUGGUGACAGUAGAAACUAAAGGGUUUUGCCAGCUAAACAGCUCUCUGCAGCUGGGGCAAAUCCGUGUGGUUAAUAUGUUAAUAGUUAAUAUGUCUAUAGGUUUCUCUCCUCCCCACAGAGCAGCCAGACUCAGGGUGAGGGUGACCCCACCUGGAUGGAGGGGGGGUGGUGACCCUGUCCCACUGCUUCUCCAUCCCUUAGCCUGGAAGCAGGAGGAGGCCUGUGUGUGGGGAGAGGUUGGCCAGCAGAUUUGCCCCCAAGGAGGGGAAGUGCUGGGCAGAGAGUGGGGUCUCCUAGGGUGACCUGAGUAUCUCUCUGAGGGGCCUGCUGUUAGGAGCAACUCAUUUGGUUUUGCAGCAGCUUCUGCUACUGGAACCAAAUGGCUCAGAUCCUUGCUCUUUGCCUAAAAAUACUGAAAGCUCCCAGGCCCCUCAGCUUAUCACUACCCGUUGGUGGUCCUCUGUGGGCCACUGCUCCAGCCAAAGCCCUGUGUCCCCCGCCUUCUGUGAAGAUGCCCG